AUUGAACGCUGGCGGCAGGCUUAACACAUGCAAGUCGAGCGGAGAUGAGGUGCUUGCACCUUAUCUUAGCGGCGGACGGGUGAGUAAUGCUUAGGAAUCUGCCUAUUAGUGGGGGACAACAUUCCGAAAGGAAUGCUAAUACCGCAUACGCCCUACGGGGGAAAGCAGGGGAUCUUCGGACCUUGCGCUAAUAGAUGAGCCUAAGUCGGAUUAGCUAGUUGGUGGGGUAAAGGCCUACCAAGGCGACGAUCUGUAGCGGGUCUGAGAGGAUGAUCCGCCAAACUGGGACUGAGACACGGCCCAGACUCCUACGGGAGGCAGCAGUGGGGAAUAUUGGACAAUGGGCGGAAGCCUGAUCCAGCCAUGCCGCGUGUGUGAAGAAGGCCUUUUGGUUGUAAAGCACUUUAAGCGAGGAGGAGGCUACCUGGAUUAAUACUCUAGGAUAGUGGACGUUACUCGCAGAAUAAGCACCGGCUAACUCUGUGCCAGCAGCCGCUGUAAAAC
rnacentral:rRNA from 1 species